GCUUACACAACCGCCUUCAUGUCCGUGUACUUGGCCGUCUUCUUGAUAGUGAAGAUAAGCUUGACCUCAGUGUCUG
rnacentral:sRNA from 1 species